GAUCUGGCUCAGGACGAACGCUGGCGGCGUGCCUAACACAUGCAAGUCGAACGGAACUUCUUUAAAGGAUUUCUUCGGAAUGAAUUUGAUUAAGUUUAGUGGCGGACGGGUGAGUAACGCGUGAGUAACCUGCCUCUAAGAGGGGAAUAACAUUCUGAAAAGAAUGCUAAUACCGCAUAAUAUAUAUUUAUCGCAUGGUAGAUAUAUCAAAGAUUUAUCGCUUAGAGAUGGACUCGCGUCCGAUUAG
rnacentral:rRNA from 1 species